rnacentral:tRNA from 1 species
GGGCCCGUGGUCUAGUCCGGUAUGACGCUUCCUUGACGUGGAAGAUGUCCCCGGUUCAAAUCCGGGCGGGCCCA